UUUGUGGUUAAUGAUGAUGGAUUUUUUUCCCCGUCUUAUCGACCAUGGGGAUGCCUUUAUGACAUAAGCCAAUUUUGUCUGAAAUCACAGC